AGCGAACGCUGGCGGCAGGCUUAACACAUGCAAGUCGAGCGGGCACUUUCGGGUGUCAGCGGCGGACGGGUGAGUAACGCGUGGAACGUGCCCUCUGGUUCGGAAUAACUCAGGGAAACUUGAGCUAAUACCGGAUACGCCCUUUUGGGGAAAGGCUUGCUGCCGGAGGAUCGGCCCGCGCCUGAUUAGCUAGUUGGUGAGGUAACGGCUCACCAAGGCGACGAUCAGUAGCUGGUCUGAGAGGAUGAUCAGCCACACUGGGACUGAGACACGGCCCAGACUCCUACGGGAGGCAGCAGUGGGGAAUAUUGGACAAUGGGCGCAAGCCUGAUCCAGCCAUGCCGCGUGAGUGAUGAAGGCCUUAGGGUUGUAAAGCUCUUUUAUCCGGGACGAUAAUGACGGUACCGGAGGAAUAAGCCCCGGCUAACUUCGUG
rnacentral:rRNA from 1 species